rnacentral:rRNA from 1 species
GGGGACCCGCACAAGCGGUGGAUGAUGUGGNUUAAUUUCGAUGCAACGCGAAAACCCUUACCUACCCUUGACAUGUCUGGAAUCCUGCAGAGAUGUGGGAGUGCUCGAAAGAGAACCAGAACACAGGUGCUGCAUGGCCGUCGUCAGNCUCGUGUCGUGAGAUGUUGGGUUAAGUCCCGCAACGAGCGCAACCCUUGUCAUUAGUUGCUACGAAAGGGCACUCUAAUGAGACUGCCGGUGACAAACCGGAGGAAGGUGGGGAUGACGUCAGGUCCUCAUGGCCCUUAUGGGUAGGGCUACACACGUCAUACAAUGGCCGGUACAGAGGGCUGCCAACCCGCGAGGGGGAGCUAAUCCCAUAAAACCGGUCGUAGUCCGGAUCGCAGUCUGCAACUCGACUGCGUGAAGUCGGAAUCGCUAGUAAUCGCGGAUCAGCUUGCCGCGGUGAAUACGUUCCCUGGGUCUUGUACACACCGCCCGUCACACCAUGGGAGCGGGUUCUGCCAGAAGUAGUUAGCCUAACCGCAAGGAGGAGCGAUUACUCAUCGGUCAGGGUUCGUGAUUNGGUGUGAAGUCGUAACAAGGUAGCCGUAUCGGAAGGUNCGGCUGGAUCACCUCCUU